UGUUGUCUAGACAGCAACUAUCUCUUAGAUAUUCCUUCAGUAACUCUAGGGUUUAUGAACUGUCCCCUAGUUCAGAGUAAACUGUCAUUUGGGAGUGAUAACAAGAGGAUAAAGACAUCACAGAUGGGGAGAAGGAAGCUGGACUUCUGUCUUGAGGCAGGCCAUGAAGAAAGGAUAGGAGUUUAAUAAGAAACUAUAUAAUUCUCAGAAAAGCAGAAGCUGUGUUUUGAAUAAAAGUCUUGGGAUUCGGCAGGAAGAUCCUACAAUAAGGAAGACACCAUCAGAGCUGCCCAUCCUCCCCAGCACUAAAGAAAGAAAAGAUUUACUUUGUCUGGGUUAUGGAGAUUUUCUUGUUGACUGGGCUCAUAGCUUCAGACCUGAAGAGAGGUAGACUAUGGAAAUGGGAGCUCCUUUUGGAGGAUUCUGCUUAUCUUGGAGUAAUUGGUAAAUACUGAGGAAGCCUAACAUGUUGGUCCACCAGCUUAUCCCUUGCUGAGAAUAAAGUCUCCUGGGAACUGGGUAAGAAGAGUAAGCAGGCAUGGCUAACAAGUCAAUCCAGUGAUAUCCCUGCUGAACCCCAUCAUGUAUAACUUAAGAACCAAGAAAUGAAGGCAGCACUGAGAAGAACUCUGGGUCCAAAGAAAAUUCUGAUAAUAAAUAUGCAAAUAAGGAUCCCAAAGUGCUCUUUCAAUAAAGUGCAAAAUCUGUGAAAGAAAGAAAAGAAAAACACUGUGCUCUUUCUUGCUGUCUUGAAAUUUAAGAAACAUAACGUUGUUUUAGCGUGUUCUUUAUUCAACACCAUGUUUAAUUGCAAACAAUUGUAAAGUAUGCUUCCUACUAAAUUACUUUAGUAGAUCAGUCCAGUACUUAAACGUUUUUAUCUGGGUAGAGUUUAAACCACGCUAAUG